rnacentral:tRNA from 1 species
GUGGCUAUGGUAUAAUGGUUAUUACAUCGGUUUGUGGUACCGAUAAUACGAGUUCAAUUCUCGUUAGCCACCCCA